rnacentral:rRNA from 1 species
UACAGAGGGUGCGAGCGUUGUUCGGAAUUACUGGGCGUAAAGCGCGCGUAGGUGGUUGAAUAAGUCGAUUGUGAAAUCCCCGGGCUUAACCUGGGAAUUGCAUUCGAUACUGUUCAGCUAGAGUGUGGUAGAGGGAAGCGGAAUUCCGGGUGUAGCGGUGAAAUGCGUAGAUACCCGGAGGAACACCAGUGGCGAAGGCGGCUUCCUGGACCAACACUGACACUGAGGCGCGAAAGCGUGGGGAGCAAACAGG